rnacentral:rRNA from 1 species
CGGGUGAGUAACGCGUGAGGAACCUGCCUCGAAGAGGGGGACAACAGUUGGAAACGACUGCUAAUACCGCAUAAGCCCACGGCUCGGCAUCGAGCAGAGGGAAAAGGAGUGAUCCGCUUUGAGAUGGCCUCGCGUCCGAUUAGCUAGUUGGUGAGGUAACGGCCCACCAAGGCGACGAUCGGUAGCCGGACUGAGAGGUUGAACGGCCACAUUGGGACUGAGACACGGCCCAG